GGGUGUUGGACACGCCCACCGCAUGAUGGGAAAGAGCAGCAGAGGAAGCAGAUGUUGCCACAGAGGAGAGGAGGAGACGCAGGGAUGGAGAGACGGCAGAUGUCUCUCUAUCACUCGCUGAUGAGUGUGAAUUGUGUUGGACUCUUUAGCAGCAGAGGAAGCGCACCUGAACCAGUCAUUCUGUGUUUUCUCUGUGUCUCUUUCCUGUCCUCCCAAACCUGAGCCUGGUUCUGCUGGAGGUUUCCUCUUGGAACCAGCUUCCUGCCCAAACCGUGUGAUCCAGACCAGUUUUAAACUCAAACUGAAGAAUGUGGCCCCGUUUCACGCCAUGAAGGCAAAUUAAAAAGAAGCAGAAGAAGAAGAAAUUGAGAACAGGUGCAUGUUGACCUUUUUAUGAUCUUAAUAUGCUGAAUUGUCUAAUUGUGUGUGUGUGUAUGACUGUCAAAAAGGGCGUUUAUACUGAUCGAUUAUGCUUUUGUGUCAUUUUCAGCCCUGCAUGGUGGUCCAGCCUUUUAGACAAAUAUAAACACUUCCCCCCGUGAGUCCAGAUAACAGUGCUACUGAUUAGCAGCAGUGUGUGUGUGUGUGUGUGUCUUAGGGACCCCCUCUACACAGGCUUGUAGCAUUAACAUCACAGGAAACCAGGCCUGUUUCCUGCCAAGAACUUUUCCUUUUUCAUUCCUACAUUUCUUAACUGUUUUCCUCCUCGCUUCCUUCAUUAACUGAUUAUUAAUGAUUUAAUUUUUUAUGCUUAAAAACAUUUCAUUUAAACAAGUUGCUGAAAACACUUAACUGUAAAAKAAAUUAAUAAGUCUGACUUAAUGGGUAGACAC